GGCCGUCCAUCGCUCAUUCUCGAGGAGAAAAAUCUUCACAUAGUUCCUCAUCCGAGAUGUUCUCGAAAGAGAACCUAACCGGAUGACACAGGAAAGACACAGGAGUCAGUCUCCUGAUUGUGCAGGAUUCGAUGAGUCUGCGUCCCUCCUAUAAGGAACGACAGCGGACCGCCUACCUGCUUAAAAACUCUCCCUAUUCAGCACCUCCGUAAGAUCACAUUGAGCACAUCUCGGAACCGCCUACCCGACAGCAUUUCAUCAGGGUACACCCAAGUGGAAUAUACGUUCCCACCUCCAUGAUCCGAUCCCAAACAGGCCCGAGCUAAAGGAGCCCUUUGUCUCUUCAGAGCCUGACGCUCCCACUCGGCUCGCAUUCUUGCGCAUGACGGCCUCGCAGAAAUCCGCGAGGGCCGUCCAACACAUAGCUGCCCUGACAAUGGAGCCAUAUGUCCUGUCAAGGACAUCGAGCAACCGCUAAAAAGUGACGUCCUCUCUGCGACCCAAGAUGGGCAAAACAGUGCAUCGUCAUAUCCACAGUCGCAUGACAACGCGUAUUAAUCGGCGACGCGUUACGCUAUAUAUCAAAAAGAUAGGCCUCAAGCACCCAUGAUCCAUUAAUCUGGGUCAUGCGAAUUGUAUAAAUACACUAAAAAUAAAGAAUGAGCCCCACUCUCGUGAGAACGCAACCACAUUUUCUUUAUCUCUUCGAUUUUAACAUGAUCUUUGAUAUAGAGAUUCAUUUCUUAAUAAUACUUUGAAAUAUCAUGAAGUUUUUUGACUAUGAUUUUUGUUAUUCAUAGUAAU